rnacentral:lncRNA from 1 species
CCCAGGCUAGGGGCUGAAUCAAAACUGCAGCUGCUAGCCUACACCAGAGCCACAGCAACACCAGAUCUGAGUUGUAUCUGUGACCUACACCACUGCGUGCAGCAACACCGGAUCCUUAUCCCACUGGGCAGCAUAUGGAGGUUCCCAAACUAGAGGUCUAAUUGGAGCCACAGCCGCUAGCCUAUGCCAGAGCCACAGCAACUCGGGAUUGGAGCCAAGUCUUUGACCUACACCACAGCUCACAGGAACACCAGAUCUUUAACUCACUGAGCGAGGCCAGGGAUCAAACCCGCAACCUCAUGGUUCCUAGUCAGAUUUGUUAACCACUGAGCCACGACGGGAACUCCACUCCUGCACAUAUUUAAUGCCAAAAUGUUAAAAUGUCCAAGAAAUUACAACAUAAGGCCAGAUGACAAAAAGGGUUUUUUUCAACCUUGGGGUGGGUGCAAAGACAGUUUUUCAUAAAAUGCAUUAUAUGUAGUUAGGAGAUGAGUGCUUUAAGAUUUUAGUGUGUGUCCGUGUGUGCACGUGUGUGUACGCACACACACAUAUACACGUUUGCAGCCUCAGAGUAUAAAAUGCACGUCUUACUAUGAGUCACCCUUGGAGUCUGAAAGCAGGCAGGCUCCUUGACUGCCAUGAAAUUUUAAUAUUCUAAUAAAAUGUCUUUAGCAACAUCAGACAAGCACUGAGACCUCUCUGAAGCUUGGUUUUAAAUUUGACACUGAAUUCUGUGUGCAUCCCAGUUCAAAGACUGCCAAGAAGGGAUAUUUCGCCUGUCACCUCAUUUUAUAAAUCCACAGCCCUCCCUGGAACCAGCGCUGCUGACCCCACUCACAAUCAGGUCAGGCCUUGCUGAGGCCAUGCACACCACAUACAAGGCCUCCUGGCCAACCCUCAGCCAUCCGUCAUAACAGGCUCUCGCUGGAGCGGGCACAUAGGAGAAGUGUGGGCCCACCCCUAGUGUGGGGCUCAUGGUGGCCAGGCCGCCUGAACUCAGGCAGCUUCUCUCACCCCAUCUAGGGGAGGCCAGCAUGGCUGGUCUGUUUCCCACAGUAUGUUUUCCAUCUAAAAGCACAACAGGAGUUCCCAUUGUGGUGCAGCGGAAAUGUAUCCGACUGUGAACCAUGAGGUUGGGGGUUCGACCCCUGGCCUCACUCAGUGGCAAGUGCAGGGACCGAACCCGCAAUCUCAUGGUUCCUAGUCAGAUUCGUUAACCACUGUGCCAUGACGGGAACUCCCCCACCUGCUUUUUAAACAAGGCAUGUAUAACAAGUCUAAGAAAAGUGUGUCAGACUCUCAAGGCAUACAGAGAGUGUGUGUGUGUGUGUGUGUGUGUGUGUGUGUAUGUGUGUGUGUGUGAAAGAGAGAGAGAGAGAGAGAGAGAUGAUCUAAAACUGUGUUUUUCCAUUUUUCUUUGUAUUUUUUAUGAUUUCCAUAACGAGUAUUGCAGCAAUUGGAGACCUGUAGACAAGCAUCAGCAAGAAAACAGAAGCCAAGUCAUCUGCUAACCACGUGACCACCAUUCUGGACACUGCCUAGUCCUUUCCAGGCAAAGUAUAGGUACAGCUUUUCUGACUGGCUCUUAGCCAUCAAAUUAGACAUAUUUUACACUAUUAUUUUUAAAGAUUAGCUAGCCUAACUAUCUCCUCAUCUCUGACCAUCUGUCAGUGGGGUGCAGCCACUGGGUUUUCCGUUUAUCAACACCAUGCACCCUUUCUAAUA